rnacentral:rRNA from 1 species
AUAUUGCACAAUGGGGGAAACCCUGAUGCAGCAACGCCGCGUGAAGGAUGAAGGUNUUNNGAUCGNANACUUCUAUCAGUAGGNNNNNAAGAAAUGACGGUACCUAACUAAGACGCCCCGGCUAACUACGUGCCAGCAGCCGCGGUAAUACGUAGGGGGCAAGCGUUAUCCGGAAUCACUGGGUGUAAAGGGUGCGUAGGCGGCAAUGUAAGUCAGAUGUGAAAUCCCGGGGCUCAACCCCGGGCGUGCAUUUGAAACUGCAUAGCUAGAGUGCAGGAGAGGAAAGUGGAAUUCCUAGUGUAGCGGUGAAAUGCGUAGAUAUUAGGAGGAACACCAGUGGCGAAGGCGACUUUCUGGACUGUAACUGACGCUGAUGCACGAAAGCGUGGGUAGCGAACA